UACGUAGGGCGCAAGCGUUAUCCGGAAUUAUUGGGCGUAAAGAGCUCGUAGGCGGUUUGUCGCGUCUGCCGUGAAAGUCCGGGGCUCAACUCCGGAUCUGCGGUGGGUACGGGCAGACUAGAGUGAUGUAGGGGAGAUUGGAAUUCCUGGUGUAGCGGUGGAAUGCGCAGAUAUCAGGAGGAACACCGAUGGCGAAGGCAGAUCUCUGGGCCGUAACUGACGCGUGGAG
rnacentral:rRNA from 1 species